UGGCUAACUCCUACGGGAGGCAGCAGUGGGGAAUAUUGCACAAUGGGCGCAAGCCUGAUGCAGCGACGCCGCGUGAGGGAUGACGGCCUUCGGGUUGUAAACCUCUUUCAGCAGGGAAGAAGCGCGAGUGACGGUACCUGCAGAAGAAGCACCGGCUAACUACGUGCCAGCAGCCGCGGUAAUACGUAGGGUGCGAGCGUUGUCCGGAAUUAUUGGGCGUAAAGAGCUCGUAGGCGGCUUGUCGCGUCGGAUGUGAAAGCCCGGGGCUUAACCCCGGGUCUGCAUUCGAUACGGGCAGGCUAGAGUUCGGUAGGGGAGAUCGGAAUUCCUGGUGUAGCGGUGAAAUGCGCAGAUAUCAGGAGGAACACCGGUGGCGAAGGCGGAUCUCUGGGCCGAUACUGACGCUGAGGAGCGAAAGCGUGGGGAGCGAACAGGAUUAGAUACCCGUGUAGUCCAGCUGG
rnacentral:rRNA from 1 species